rnacentral:misc_RNA from 1 species
UAACAAGGUUUCCGUAGGUGAACCUGCGGAAGGAUCAUUACCAAUUCAACGGUGUGGUCGCGGCCUCCGGGGGAUCCCCCCGGGCGGUAGAGGUAACACUCUUACGCGCCACAUGUCUGAAUCCUUUUUUUACGAGCACCUUUCGUUCUCCUUCGGUGGGGCAACCUGCCGUUGGAACUUAUCAAAACCUUUUUUGCAUCUAGCAUUACCUGUUCAGAUACAAACAAUCGUUACAACUUUCAACAAUGGAUCUCUUGGCUCUGGCAUCGAUGAAGAACGCAGCGAAAUGCGAUAAGUAGUGUGAAUUGCAGAAUUCAGUGAAUCAUCGAAUCUUUGAACGCACAUUGCGCCCCUUGGUAUUCCAUGGGGCAUGCCUGUUCGAGCGUCAUCUACACCCUCAAGCUCUGCUUGGUGUUGGGCGUCUGUCCCGCCUCUGCGCGUGGACUCGCCCCAAAUUCAUUGGCAGCGGUCUUUGCCUCCUCUCGCGCAGCACAUUGCGCUUCAGAGGGGCGUGGGCCGCGUCCACGAAGCAACAUUACCGUCUUUGACCUCGGAUCAGGUAGGGAUACCCGCUGAACUUAAGCAUAUCAAUAA